UUCGAAGCACUUUAGCUACCAAUAUAAAUAGGAUACUUUUAAGACUCAUUUAAAUCAUAUCGGCUUCAGGCGCUGUUACAUUAUCGAACAUGAGAGAAAUAUGCAACGAGUAAGAGAUGAAAGAGUAUCAGAGUGACUUGAGUUUAAUUUCAGUUUACUCUAUCACAAAUUUCAGCUUCAACUUGCUAUCAUUUUACGUUUGAAUUUAGUGUCAAAUAUGAGACUCCUUUCAGUAAGCUGAAGCUAACUUUCCACAUUCAUUCGAAAACAAUAUUUUGUGCCGAUUACAUCGCUAGAAUAAUUUUAACAUUACAAUUUUUUACAAUUAUAUUUGCAUUACCUUUGCACUUUUAGCGGGCUUUUUCUUUUAUUAAUUUAUUUUAUCAAGUAAGUACCAACAAUUCACGCAUAUAUAAUACUGUCAAUGGAUAAUAGUAGUAGUAAAGCGCUUUAAUCAACAUUUAAAAUUUUAACCAACAUAACGUGUUCCUAAAAAAUUAGCAACGUGUAGAUGACGCUAUAAAGUUUAUACAUAUAUUCUUGAUCGGCGACAACUGCCGAGGCGAUAUAGCCAUGUCCGUCUGUCUGUCAGAUAAAAGACAAAGAGGACGAUAUCGAAGGUGACGAUGCGGGAUGUUUGAAAGUGAACGUUGACCC